rnacentral:tRNA from 1 species
GCCCCUGUGGCGGAAUUGGCAGACGCGGCAGAUUUAGGUUCUGUUGGGAAACCGUGCGGGUUCGAGUCCUGCCGGGGGCA